CAUCUGUACAUGUUGGGCCAUGAGACAAUGAAGUGGCUCCAGACAUCCAGCAUCCUGGUCUUGGGCCUGUGGAAUUUGGGCAUGGAGAUCGUUAAGAACAUCAUCCUUGGCAGGGUUAAGGCUGUCACCCUACAUGACCAGGGCACUGCCCAGUGGGCUGACCUGUCCUCCUAGUUCUACCUGCAGAGGAGGAUAUCAGUUAAAAACUGGACCAAGGUGUUCCAGUCCUGCCUUCUGAACUCAACAGCUACAUGCCUGUCACUGCCUACACUGGGCCCCUUUUUGAGGACUUCCUUAAUGGCUUCGAGGUGAUGGUCCUCACCAACACUCUUGAAGGAGCAGCUCCAAGUAGGUGAAUUCUGUCACAGCCAUGGCAUCAAGCUGGUGGUGGCAGACACUCGAGGCCUAUUUGGACUUUGGAGAGGAAAUGGUCCCCACAGAUUCCAAUGGGGAGCAGCCACUCAGUGCUAUGGCUUCUGUGGUCACCAAGGUUUCUAUGGUUACCUGCCUGGAGGAGGCCCGACAUGGAUUUGAGAGUGGCGACUUUGUCUCCUUUUCAGAAGUACAGGACAUGAUUCAACUCAAUGGAAGUCAGUCCACAGAGAUCGAAGUCCUGAGUCCUCACACCUUUAGCAUCUGUGACUCCUCCAACUUCUCCAACUACAUCCAUGGGGGCAUCGUCAGUUAGAUCAAAGUACCUACGAAGAUUAGCUUUAAAUCUUUGCCGGCUUCACUGGCUGAGCUUGACUUUGUGAUGACAGACUUCACCAAGUUUGCUCACUCUGCCCAGCUGUACGUUGGGUUCCAGGCUCUGCACCAAUUCUGUGCUCAAUACAACCGGCCACCUCGACCUCACAAGGAGGAGUAUGCAAUAGAAGUUGUGGCCCUAGCAAAGGCUGUGAAUGCUCAAGCCCUACCCACAGUGCAGCAGGACAACUUGGAUGAAGACCUUAUUCGGAAACUGGCCUAUGUGGUUGCUGGGGAUCUAGCGACCACAAACACUUUCACUGGGGGCUUGGCUGCCCAGGAGGUCAUGAAGGCCUGUUCUGGGAAGUUUAUGCCCAUCAUGCAGUGGCUGUACUUUGAUGUCCUGAGUGUGUCCCUGAGGACAAAGAGGCCCUCACAGAGAACAAGUGCCUACCUCGUCAGAACCGUUAUGAUGGACAGGUGGCUGUAUUUGGCUCAGACCUGCAAGAGAAGCCGGGCAAGCAGAAGUACUUCUUAAUGGGUGCAGGGCACCAUUGGCUGUGAGCUGCUCAAGAAUUUUGAUAUGAUUGGGCUGGGCUGUGAGGAGGGUAGAGAAAUCAUUGUCACAGACAUGGACACCACUGAGAAAUCAAAUCUGAACUAACAGUUUCUGUUUUGGCCCUGGGAUGUCACAAAGUUAAAAGUCUGAUACAGCCACUGCAGCUGUGCACCAGAUGAAUCCCACACAUCCAUGUGACAAGCCACCAGAACCAUGUGGGUCCUGACACUGUGUACAUCUAUGGUGACGAUUUUUUUCCAAAACCUGGAUAGCGUAGCCAAUGCCCUGGACAACGGAGGAUGCCCACAUGUACGUGGAUUGCUGCUGCAUAUACUACCAGAAGCCGCUGCUGGAGACAGGCAACCUGGGCACCAACGACAACGUGCAGGUGGUGAUUCCCUUUCUGACAGAGUCCUACAGCACCAGCCAGGAUCCAACGGAGAGGUCUAUUCCCACCUGUAACCUAAAAAACGUCCCCAAUGCCAUUGAGCACACUCUGCAGUGGGCUCAGGAUGAGUCUGAAGGCCUUUUCAAGCAAUCAGCAGAAAAUGUCAACCAGUACCUCACAGACCCCCAGUUUGUGGAGCGAACACUGCAGCUGAUGGGUACUCAGCCAUUGCAGGUGCUGGAGGCUGUGCAGCACAGCCUGGUAUUCCAGAGACCACAGACCUAGGCUUACUGCGCGAUCUGGGCCUGCUACCAUUGGCAUACCCAGAACACUAACAACAUCUGGCAGCUGCUACAUAACUUCCCUCCCAACCAGCUCACAAGCUUGGGAGCCCCGUACUGGUCUGGGCCCAAAUGCUGUCUACACCCACUUAG